GCCGAGGUAGCUCAGGGGUAGAGCAAGCGACUGAAAAUCGCUGUGUCGGCGGUCCGAUUCCGCCCCUCGGCACUA
rnacentral:tRNA from 1 species